rnacentral:tRNA from 1 species
GUAUCCGUAGUGUAGUGGCUUCGCAUGCGACCCUGUGAAGGUCGUGGUGGCGGGUUCGAUUCCCCCCGGAUACCC